GCCCGGGGUUCACAUACUUUUUACUUUGACUGUAUAUAUUAAAAAUAGAAAGCAGCCCUAGCACUGACCCCUAUGGACAUCACUCUUAACGUCAGCCAAUUCAGAUAAGGUUCCUCACACCAUCACCCUCUGCUUCUUGCAUCUGAGCCAAUUCUGCACCCAUCUAAAAAUAUCAUUCUAAAUUCCAACUUCUUUUAGUUGGAGCUUAUCAGAUAGCAAGCGGACAUUAAGAACUCCUAGUCAGCAGGUUGAAUGCAGAAGAUCUGGGCAGGCGGAAAGACCUCCGUGACUUUGAUAGGAACCACAUUGUUAUGACUAGAUGAUUGGAUCAGAGCAUUUCCAAAACAGUAAGACUUGUAGGGUGCCAAUGGUAAACCAUAGUGAGUACCUAAUGACAGAGGUCUGAGGAAAGAGAAGAACUACAAACUGCCAACAGGGCAUUGUGCAGCCAAGACUCAACAAUGCAAGAGUUCAACCAAGGCUAGGGGUCCAACUAUCAGAAGGCACAAAUUGCAGAUAAUUUUAAUGAUGGUUAUGGGAGUGAUGUGUUAACACACAGUGCAUUGAACCAUACCGCAGGCCAGCCAGUGUACCAAUGCCAACCCCGUCACUAUCAAAAAUAACUACAAUGAGCAUACAAGCACUGGACAUCCAAAACCUCUACCAAAACACUUCUGCUUGAAAAAACAUUGAGGUGGUAAGUCAUUUGUACCUAUCGGUGAUGUCCAGAUCAUUAAAACAAUCUUGACUGCAGCAGUUUAAUCUCUGUUUCUUCUUGGUAGAGGACAGAUAUUUUAGCGGCAAGGGGGAACAAAUGCCUGAUCAAGAAAAAGUGGAGGGGACCACUCAGAUGCUGACCUAGAAUGACUCAAAGGAGACCCAAGGAAGGCCAUAGAGAAAGAGGGACAGGUAUUGUCAAGCUUGGGUCACAGACUUGUACAAGAGAUAGGAAGAUAAGUCCAAGUUUCCAAGGAAAAUACAGAAACUUCAUUACUGUAUAGAGAAGAAGAUGUCCAGUGAAUCAGACUGACUCCGCCCCUUCCGUUCCCUAACUCCAAAUCCCGCACCUACUGAAGGAGGUAUUCCACUUUAGACAGAACGCACUGCAAGACGGGUUUCUUAUCUGGUGAACGAAAGAGACUGAAAUGCCUAGCUUGAUGGCUUUUCUUAUCAUUUUGUACUUUUCAGUUAUGUUUAUCCUCUCAGUGGCCAUUUUUUUAAAGAUUUUACUUAGUUGAAUUAAACAGGGACGACCAACAUUUAUUCCUGGGUCUUGCAGUCCUUUUCCUCAAUCACAAUUUUCAUUUAGACUAAGAGACACUCCGCAGUUCCAAAAUAUUUAAUGAAGAAGUCGCCUAAACAGGAGUGAAUUUGGUGCAGUUUGAAUAGUCGACAGGAGACCAUUCUACAGCUUCAGAGCAAGAAUGGAGAAGCAUUGUCCAGUUUUGGCAUGUCUUGGAAGAGGAGGGAUGGUCAGCAGACACACAGAAUGGUGAGUCACACAGAGAGACCAAAGACCAGAGAUAUUGAGGAGCAGAACCAUUCAGUGAACCGUAGAUCAAGACGAGAGUUUUGAAUUGGAUCCUUGCUGCAACAGGAAGCCAGUGGAGAGACGGAAGAAGAGGAGUAGUUGUAGUGAAAUAAGAAACAGAGAACACCAGUUGAGCUGCUACAUUCUGGUGGAACUGGGGAGAUCAAAUAGCAUUUGAAGAAAGCCCCAUUAGGAAAAACUUGCAAUAAUCCAGCUGAGAGACAACCAGAGCCUAAACAUGAAGUUGCUUGGCAUAAUUAGUGAGGAAAAGUUUAAUUCAAUAAAUUUUAUGAAGAAAGAAACAACAGAAUUGGGUGAUUGAAGAAAUAUUUUUGAUGAAUGAAAGUGAGGACUCCAUAGUUGUACCGAGAUUCCUGACCAUGACUCAUGGUGGAAGGGUGACAUCCUCAAGAGCAAUUCUUAGAGACAAAUCUGAGGGAGGCAAGUGCAGGAUAUCUGAAAGGUUAACAUUUAAGGAGAUAAGCAUUCAACCAGGAUGAGAUGGCAGAGAAACUGCUGGUAACGUGUGGGUUGUAAGAGGGAAAUGAAAGGCGAUAAGAAGAAAUGACAUUGCUUAGACAGCAGCUGAAGAGAGAACAGAGAAUCGGACCAAACACUAACCCUGAAGGCACACCUGUGGAGAAGACAAGCAGUUACAUCAGGAAACACAAAAGCAGAACCUCUAAUUCCAGGUUUAUCAAGGAAAGAUAUAAGGAGGGAGUGGAGUGGUUAAGAGUAUUGAAUGCUGAUGAAAGGUCAAGAAGGAUAAGGACAGAGGAGAGAGAAGCGGCUUGAGUAGAUCUAAGAGCAUUUGUGACCGAAAGCAGAGAAAUCUCAGUAGAGUGACCCUUGUGGAAUCCAUAUUGAAGAGGAUCUAGUAGAUUGUAAGAAAGAUGAGGACAGUUGUUUGUAGACCAUACGUUCUAAAGAAGAGAGACGGGAUGAUAAUCCUCUGGGUUGAGGUCAGUUGAGUGAUUUCCUGCUUCACUGAAAUAAA